CUACGGGCGGCUGCAGUGGGGAAUAUUGCACAAUGGAGGAAGCUCUGAUGCAGCAACGCCGCGUGGAGGAUGACACUUUUCGGAGCGUAAACUCCUUUUAUAUAGGAAGAAGAUGACGGUACUAUAUGAAUAAGCGCCGGCUAACGCCGUGCCAGCAGCCGCGGUAAUACGGAGGGCGCAAGCGUUACUCGGAAUCACUGGGCGUAAAGAGCGUGUAGGCGGAUUAAAAAGUCAGAAGUGAAAUCCUAUAGCUUAACUAUAGAACUGCUUCUGAAACUCUUAAUCUAGAAUAUGGGAGAGGUAGAUGGAAUUUCUGGUGUAGGGGUAAAAUCCGUAGAGAUCAGAAGGAAUACCGAUUGCGAAGGCGAUCUACUAGAACAUUAUUGACGCUGAGACGCGAAAGCGUGGGGAGCAAACAGGAUUAGAUACCCUAGUAGUC
rnacentral:rRNA from 1 species